CAGUAGCCGCGGUAAUACAGAGGGUGCAAGCGUUAUUCGGAAUCACUGGGCGUAAAGAGUUCGUAGGCGGUUUGUUAAGUCGAAUGUGAAAGCCCUGGGCUCAAUCCAGGAAGUGCAUUCGAUACUGGCAAGCUGGAGUGCAGGAGAGGAAGGCGGAAUUCCAGGUGUAGAGGUGAAAUUCGUAGAUAUCUGGAGGAACAACAGAGGCGAAGGCGGCCUUCUGGACUGUCACUGACGUUGAGGAACGAAAGCGUGGGGAGCAAACAGGAUUAGAUACCCCCGUAGUCCCUGUCUCUUAUAA
rnacentral:rRNA from 1 species